AGGUGGUGAUCAUUUCUUGAAGCAAAGAGCCUAAGACAAUGGGAAAGUGAACACACUUCCCUUGUGUAAACUGCUGUGGUUGAGAGCUCUCUCCAAGGGCAGAGGAAGCAUGGCACCCACAUCUUGAAACUUUCAGAUUCCUAUGGAGACCUCUACAAUGUGCUGUGAGAAACAUUUCACCCAAUCCUUACACCCUUAGGUGUUUGGUAACCCUCUACAAAGUGACUUUGGGGACUGCCCCUCCCCAUGUCCCUACUAUAUCAAGACUCUGUGUUGAGCCAAUUUAGACCUGAAUGUGGACAUAGCACCCUGUAUGCAGACCACGUCAGGCUCGUGUCAAAGAAUCCACUAGGGGAGAGCGGAUAGAGGCCUGCACAUAUGCUGUGACAUCUGAAGAAUGUGGGGAGUCCGGAAAUGUAGAUGUGAGCAGGGCCACCACACACACGUGCUGACACACUCAGUGAGUUGUGAAGAACUGAGCAAUGUGCAUGUGAAGAGCGGACCUCCAGGUCCUUUACGUCAGGGCAUGUGUGGUCCCUCUACAGCAGGAGAGCGCAACCAAGGCAGCUCCGUCUCUGUCAUAUGUGGAACCCUCUACCUUGCAGACAGGACAGCAGCUCCACCUACUUUGACCAUCUCAGAAGUGUGUGAACCCUCUGCAACACGGGUGCAACCCGAUCCAUGCACACAUGUGUAGGUGAGUAUGUGCACCUGUCCUGUAUCCCCCAGACAGACACACACACACACACACACACACACACCAUCUCAGGCAGGGAUACAGCUCUGUACUAACUGAGAGGUAAGCAGUGCCCUCCUGCAUCUGGAUAAACUAAGACACAUGCAGGGCCCUAAGGGAGGGUGUGAGCAGAGUCUCCAUGUCCUGUAGACCUGAAUUCUGUGCUGAAUCAUCUAUAACAUGGAUGUGAGUAGAACCCCUUUCCCCUGAUCUUCACAGAUGUGUGUAGCCCAGGGUCACAAGGAGGAUGUGGCCCAGGGCCUCCACGUCACGACAAUUGAAGCCACCUAGAGAAACCUCUGAAAUGAUGACAUGAGCAGCACCAACCCAGGUCCUGACCAGAUCUGGAAUAUCCACGUCAGCAGUGCUCACGUGUUCUCAGGAGCUCGGGCAAGUUUGGAGCGCUGUACACCCAGGCUGUGAGUGGAAAGCCCCGGAUCUCAUCUGCUCACCUUGUAGGAUGUGGAUGUACGUAGAGCUCUCCAGGUGGAGACCACCAAGACCAUUCACACAGCUCUGUACAACGUGACUAUCUGAAUGUGGACAGAGCACCCCGUAUGCAGACCACCUCAGGUUCGUGUCAAAGAAUCCAGUAGGGGAGAGUGGACAGAGGCCCCCACAUACAAUGUGACGUCUGAAGAACGUGGGGAGCCUGAAAAUGUGGAUGUGAGCAGGGCCACUACACACACGUCCUGACACACUCAGUGAGUUAUGAAGACCUCAGCCACAUGGAUGUGAAGAGUGACCCUCCAUGUCCUGCAUGUCAGGGCAUGUGUGGUCCCUCUACAAUAGGGGAGUGCAACCUAGGCAGCUCCAUCUCUGUCAUAUGUGGAGCCCUCUACCUCGUAGACAAGACAGGAGCCCCACCUACUUCUGACCAUCUCAGAAGUGUGUGAACUGUCUGCAACAUGGGUGUGACUGGAGCCAUACACCUGUGGUGAAGAUCAUGUGUAUGUGUAGUGGUCUCAAUAACAAGGGUGUGAACACAGCCACCAAUAUCCUGAAUCCCUGAGACAUGUGUAGAACCAUCUGCAAGAUAUGUACCAAAGACACCCUAUCCCCCACACCCUGCCACACACAUGCACUCCAUCUCAGGCAGGUGUUCACCCUUGUACAAGGAGGAUGUGACCAAACCCCUGGCUUCCCUUAUACUAUCAAUGGCCCGAGUGGCACCUGAUACAAUGUGGAUAAGAGUGUAACUCCACUUUGCUCUCAUUCAUAUAGGGAUAUAUUUGAGGUCUCUAUAAUGUCCACACAGAUCUCCACCUCAUAUCUACAAGCGCAGGUAUGUGGAAUCCUUCCCACCCCACAUGUGAGGUGAUGCACUCUUAUAGAGAAAAUCUCACGUAUGAGCCCAUCCUGGACAACAUGGACUUGAACACAAUUCCUCAUGUACCCACCCCUAAUUCAGUUGUAAUCCUUGCACAAUGUGGUUGUCACCUUAGAUCCCCAUAACCUCAUAACUGGCUGUAUGUGGGGCCCUCUCUGAUAUAAAUGUGAGCAGAGCUGCCUGCAUCCCCCUGACCUGUCACCCCUGUCCAAGGUAUGUAGAGAACCUUGUACAAUGUGAACCUGACCUGAACAACCAAUAUGUCCCCACCUGCCCACACUUAUCUUAAUUCUUGUCCAACGUCACUGUAAGUUCAGCCUCCUGAGGAUGUAGUCUACCACAAGGUUGGAGAAUAAACACCCCUGUCCUGACCAUCUUAGCAAGGUGUGUACACUGCACAAUACACACAUGGGCAGGGGCACCCCACCACGUCUUGACGACCUCAGGCACUGGUGGAGCCCCAGAGAAUGUGGAAGUGCAGAGAGAUCCUGCAUUGUUUGACCAACUUGGGUGUGUUGGACUUUUACCAAGUCAAUUAGAACAGAACACUGACAUGUUAUAUGUAUCACCAUCAUGAAUGGAGCCCUGUCCUUAGAGGACACAGCAAGAGAUGCACCAUUUCCCAAGCAAUGCAGGCCUCUGGAAACUUCUACAACAUGGCUACAACAAGUGCCACCUGCCAUGCCAUCAUCAUGUCUUACCGGUGUGGAGCCCUCCUCAGUGUGAAUGUGAACAGAGCACCCCACAUCCUCAGGAGCUCAGUCGUGGGUGGGACUCUGUACACCUGGAAUGUGAGCAGAGACUCUCCAUGUCCUGUCAACUACUGGCUGUGUGCCACCCUCUCUGACUAGAAUGUCAGCAGAUCCUCAUUUCUUGACAACACAGGGCAUGUGUGGAGGCCUGGACAUGGACAUGAACAGUUCAAUUACAUCCUGACCAACUCAGGGGUCUGGAGCCCUCUGUUACAAGAGAAGUGACCACGCUUUCUAAUUCUGGACUAUGUAAGAUGGUGGUGGAGCCCUCUACAUGAAUGUGAGCACUGCUCCAUUGGAGUGACCAUGUAAGGUGUGCAGCACCUGUGGUUACAAGAUGUGACCAGUCUUCCAUGUCAUGACAACUGGAGCUAUGUGUGAAGGUCUCUAAAAUGAUGUGAACAGAGCUAUCCACGUUUUGACCAACUCUGGUGUGUGUGGACCCCUUUACAAGGUCAAUGUGAGCAGAGUGCCCCCACUUCAAAUGUCUGGCCAUCUCGUGUGUAUGUUGACUCCUGUAAAACAAGAAUGUGAGUAGAGCCCCCCACAUCCUGGCCAUCACAGGCAUGUGUGGAGUGCUCUACAACACAGAUGUGAGCAGAGACACCUCCCUACGUCUAACCAUCUCGUGUGUGCAUUUAAGUAGAAACCACUGUGUCCUCACCACGUCAGGUCUGCAGAUCCUUCUGCAACAUGCCUGUGAACAGAGGUCGUGACAUCACGUUUGCGGAUCCCCCUACAACAUGGAAGUGAAUGGAGUGCCCCUGCUCCAUCUCCUAGCUAUGUGAGCAAAAUCAAGGAAAUCCACACUCAUCUGGGCAGUCAACUCAGGACCAAAGUGAGACCAGCUUUCCUGUUACACUUAAGACACUGCAAAGCUCAGAGAAUGUCCAAGAUCCUGACUCUAGAUUUUGUAGGAAUGUAAGGUAUUUCAGCCAUUGAUCCAUUGCAGAACCCAUCUUUUGUGUUUAGACUAGGCUUACUGCAUAGAAGGAAUUUGUAAGGUUAAUUGAAGACAGCCUUUUGCACACUAUCAACCUAUAGAGCCAAAGCAAGACUGACGGGCGGGAUGGACACAUGCUGCACAGGACACUGCCAACCCUGAUGAUUCCAGCCAAGGCUUUUGGUGACAUCUUGUGAAAACAUUUGAUAUUGCAGCCCACACACCUGAAGCAGCACCAUGCAGGCUAUCCACUACACCCUGGACAUGGGACACAAGCCUGGUUCUGGGCCCUGUGCAGAGACAAGCUGGAUGUGCCAGCCACAGCACAACUCAAAAAAAGAGAAGCACCAAGACAGGGAAAGAUGCGACUUCUCACGCCUGACUCUCUGUUUGCUGUAGGGAGGUCUUGCUGAAACUUACAUUACUCACAUGCCUGAAAAUAUGCACCACAGAGAGGACAGUGAUUACAACUGGGAGACCACACAGGACCAUCAUCCAGCAGAAAGACCAACGUGUUGGCCAUGGAACACCACGCAGCAGUCUAUAAGCAGACUCCUUAGGCCAGCAGAAGACACCCACAGCAGCCAGAGGAAGAAGCAAGCAGUAGAGACACAGGGCACGACCUUAGUGUUCUAAAAACACAUUGUUAGAAAUGCACAGAAAUUUCUGGGUUCAAAGGACAGUAGGACUUAUUUUCAAGGAGCAGGACUGAGAAGCAGACUUUUACAUAUCUAACUUAGGCCCUUCUGGGUUAUCCAAAUGUCUACUAACCAAGUGCCUAAGGAAAAAUACCAAGUGAUUUGAAGUUCUCAGCAGAAAACUCAAGCUGCACACUAAAAGAGUUCAGAUAAAUGUGAGGAUGGAGAAAUGAACAUGGGGUCAGCUGUGGAAUCUUCAAUUUACAGUGUCACAUGAGAAAGUCUGAGCCAGGUAUCACAGUGCACGCCCAUCAUCCUAGCACUCAGGAGGCUGAAGCAGGAGGAUUUUGAGUUUGAGGUCAGACUGGCCACAUUGUGAGAACCUA